rnacentral:rRNA from 1 species
UCCUACGGGAGGCAGCAGUGAGGAAUAUUGGACAAUGGAGGCAACUCUGAUCCAGCCAUGCCGCGUGCAGGAUGACUGCCCUAUGGGUUGUAAACUGCUUUUAUACGGGAAGAAAAACACCUACGUGUAGGUGACUGACGGUACCGUAAGAAUAAGGACCGGCUAACUCCGUGCCAGCAGCCGCGGUAAUACGGAGGGUCCAAGCGUUAUCCGGAAUCAUUGGGUUUAAAGGGUCCGUAGGCGGGCUAUUAAGUCAGAGGUGAAAGUUUGCAGCUCAACUGUAAAAUUGCCUUUGAUACUGAUAGUCUUGAAUUGUAGUGAAGUGGUUAGAAUAUGUGGUGUAGCGGUGAAAUGCAUAGAUAUCACAUAGAAUACCGAUUGCGAAGGCAGAUCACUAACUAUAUAUUGACGCUGAGGGACGAAAGCGUGGGGAGCGAACGGGAUUAGAUACCCCGGUAGUCCACGCCGUAAACGAUGGAUACUAGCUGUUGGAUUUUUUCAGUGGCUAAGCGAAAGUGAUAAGUAUCCCACCUGGGGAGUACGUCCGCAAGAAUGAAACUCAAAGGAAUUGACGGA